rnacentral:rRNA from 1 species
GCAAUGGGCGAAAGCCUGACGCAGCCAUGCCGCGUGUGUGAAGAAGGCCUUAGGGUUGUAAAGCACUUUCAAUUGGGARGAAAAGUUUGUCGUUAAUAGCGGCAAGCUCUGACAUUACCUUUAGAAGAAGCACCGGCUAACUCCGUGCCAGCAGCCGCGGUAAUACGGAGGGUGCGAGCGUUAAUCGGAAUUACUGGGCGUAAAGCGCGCGUAGGCGGUUUGUUAAGUCAGKUGUGAAAGCCCCGGGCUCAACCUGGGAACUGCAGUUGAUACUGGCCGACUAGAGUACCGAGARAGGGAGGUAGAAUUCCAUAGUGUAGCGGUGAAAUGCGUAGAUAUAUGGAGGAAUACCAGUGGCGAAGGCGGCCUCCUGGCUCGAUACUGACGCUGAGGUGCGAAAGCGUGGGGAUCAAACAGGAUUAGAUACCCUGGUAGUCCACGCCGUAAACGAUGUCUACUAGCCGUUGGGRGACUUGAUUUCUUAGUGGCGCASUAAACGCAAUAAGUAGACCGCCUGGGGAGUACGGCCGCAAGGUUAAAACUCAAAUGAAUU